UGGCAGCCAACAUCAUAAUUAUUUUUUGUGCUUUGGUUAUCAAAACCUAGUUGAGGGAACUAAGAAUUUUUAUUUGUGAAAUAUUUUUAAAUAGUUUACUAGGACAUUGCUGUAUUAUUUCUCGUAUCAUUAUAAAAUGAAUGCAGCAGGGAACUUGCAAAUAUUAGUUCAGCAAUGAGUCCGUUUUGGGCAUAAUUACUACAGUUUCAAAAACAUUUUAUGAUCAAUAUGGCAUCAGAUUAUAAAUGGUUUGUUAUCUUGAGAUUGCAAUGGAUCACACGUAUUUUUAAUUUUUUGAUUUGUACACAGGCCUAUGUGGUAGGUGACAAUAAUGAUAAAAUUGACAUGACACAAAUGCAACCCGGAUCAAUUCAGUGACAAGUUGCUGGCCUAGAAUUUGUGGUCAUUGCUGAAACAUUGGCACUCUCUGCUGACAUCAAAGCAAGAAACCCACAAAGAUCUAGCCGUCUCUGUAUGAUAUGGAUUUUACCAUUCAUGGUAUUGCUGUAAUGCUUUUGCUUUAAGAAGUCUCUGAUGUCUGGUAACUGGUGUUGUGAGCAGGCAACUCAAAAUUGGAAAUCCCAGAAAGUUUUUAAAAUAUCUUUCAAAGUACAGAGCUACAAAUAAAAUUGGUAGAAAGUGAAAUAUUAAGAUUUUUUUAAAAAUACAUGCAAUUUUAAAAUAUGCAAGAGAGAUCAUUCAAAAAAACAAAAAAAAAUUUGGCAAAGUCAAAAAGAUUGUUAUAUAAUAAUUGAAACAUUUUAAAACCUCACCUGAGUCUCUUACAACAAAGCUAUACAGUUCUUUAUUUCAACCUUUGAAUUUGAGCUCCAAAUGAAGAAGAACAACCUGAAACAUGUACUUACCCCAGUUCAGAGCAGUUGGUGGGACAGAUUUUAAGGAACCAUGUAGCUACUUUCAGUUACUAUUUGAGCACUGUGGCUUCUUGUUUUGUUAUGUAGUGCCAAGUUUGUGGCAAGAUGUUAUCCUGAGGGGAAAGAGAACACUUCGCUGGAAACCCUGAGCUGCAAAUGUUGAAAUAGAAAAUUCUGUGCUGCUGGUCACAUUUAGUUAGCAUUGGCUGCACAAAUGCUACCUCAAAGCUCCAGUGACCAGCUUGAUUCAGAUCUUGGCUGCUGUUGAGGUGGUGUUUGCAUACUCUCCCUGUGACUACAUGGACUUUCCCUGCAUGUUUCACUUCCCUUUUGCAUCCCAAAGACAUGUUAUGGAGUAAUUGGCAAUUAGAUUAUUGUUGGUAAAAGGCCAAUAAAAGGAUAGCCAUGUAUGAGAGACCAAUUAAGUUGGCACUGGGAAAUAUGGAAAGGAACAAUGGGACGCGUGAUUGCUCUACUGAUGGCUGGUGUGGAACAGAUGGGUGGAAUGAUCACCCUGUGUAAUGUAAGAUUUAAUUUUAAAUAUGUUAAUUUCUUUACUUGAUCACUCCUCUCUUUAUAUCAGUUGCUAUCAACAUUGCUGUGUCUUUUGUUAAAUCGAGAUAAUUUGUUAACGGACACCAAGCAAUUGUUUAGGGAAUUGACGAUUAAAACGUAGGCUUUAAAAUAUAGGCUUUUAAUUUGUUUAAUCGCAAUAAUUAACACAAAACACGAAUAAUUUUUUUAUCGUGUGUACGAUUUGACUUAUUUUGAAGUUAAGAACAAUUCUCGUGCAUGACGUUUUCAACUUCAUCAAUCUCUUAUGCAUUUUUUAUCUGUUCUGGAUAUUUGAUUAAAUAGAGCCAACAGUCAAAUUGUAGAUUAAAUUAGUUUUAACUUUUACAUCUUUUAAAUUAUUUACUCAAUUUGAUUCUUUGCUGCAUCAUCGAGUUUAAAGUAUUUGCAUUACUUUAUUCUGUACGUUUGAAAUCUUGAUGAACUCGUUCUUCAUUUCAGUGUACUAAGCUUAUGAAUGUAAAGGCAAAGAAUCUUUUCUGUUAAAAUGCUUGUUUUCUACCUGACAUUCAGCAGUUCCAUUUGAUUUGAGUUGAGUUCCAUUAAUUUUAAACUAUUUUUAUCUGGAUGUCAUUGGUGUUUAGAUUUUUUUCUGUUUUUCAUAACUGCCAAAUUCUGUAGUUCAUCAGCAAGAGGUUGUUGUUCCAUGGAGCAUCAUGGGGAUUUUUAUUUCAUAGAUUGAUGGAUCGGAAAUUACAUUGAGAUCUCUCUGAUAAAUAGUAUCCAGUCAGAGAAGAUUACACUUCUAGUUUGUAUCAUCCUUCUCUUAGUUUGCAUUUUUCUCUUUUCUGUGCCUAUUUAACAUCCUUGUUUUCAUCCUUUUUAUUCCUCCCCAAUCAGUGCAUAGUUCAGAGAAUAAACAAACAAAAUGCUCUUAACUCCUGACAGCAUCUGGUUAUAAUAUACUGCUGCACAAGUUUGUGGAGGCAAAAAUUGCUAUAUUUUCAUUGUUUGACCAAGUUCAGCCAUGUUGGGAAUCAUAUACUAACAGAUCCUGCAUUUUGUUACAUUUUCUGACUCAACUGAUAUUCAAUUGAUUAUUUUUGCACCAGUUUCAUCUUCAUGCAGAAUGAACAAUGUUGAGAAUUCAACGGCAUAGUUCAUCUGGCAGAAGAAAUUAAUGUCUUGAUCCAAAUCUCGUCAUAUCCCGUUUGCCUCCACGGAUGCUGCUUGACCCACUGAAUUAUGGCAGCGGUUGGAUUUUUUAAAAUGUAGAAAUUUGCCGCUUAAAUUUCAAUUCUGCAUGUUCUAAUAGUUCUAACAGCGAAUACUGCUAUAACAUAUAUGUAUUUUUUAUUUGCUGUUGGGAAAUACCCGAUUCUGGCAACGGGUGGAGACAGUAGAGUGUUGGUAGUAGCUGGAUGGGUGCAUCUCUUAAUCACCAUGACACCUUGGAUAAUUGUUCAUUUUCACAUACUUGUGAUGCUCAUAGUCUCUUGUUUCCAGUUCCUUUGGAAAUAAAAUACACUCUAUGUGAGCUCCAGUUGCUGAUGAAGGAGAGUGUGGAACAUGGUUCAUCUAGUAUUAUUUACCUGAUAAUUGCUGUUAGUUCCUACUUUUGUCUCCUAAAGUAACAGAUUCGCAUGGUCAAAAUUCAUGGCUACCCAAAUUAGAUAAUUUCCCCAAGGGCUCAUACUAGGCAUUGCCUGAAUUAAAAACAAUUA